ensembl:lncRNA
GUGGAAGUUUGUCGGCUUAGACCUGGUGUCAUUCCAUCAGUGUUAAACUUCCCGGCUCAUCUUUGAAGAGUACGUGCCAGAAAGACCACAACCAAGCAGCCUUGAGAUCUUAGGCAGCGUCUCCCUCAGGUCCCUCUCUAUCUCCCCACACAUCCACCAACCACUGGAACACAUCUCCAAAGUUCUGCUGGACCAGCUCAGCUUCCCCUCAGAAGAAGUUCCACCAGAUGAAGGAGCCUUUUGAGAGGCAGCUGGCAUCGUGAUUGGACUGUACUUUGGUCUGUUCCAAUCCAGCUUCAGCUCCAGAGAUGGCAGGCGGGACGAGUCAACGGAGGCCUGGUGGAUGAAGACAUGCAGCUGAGUACAAUCCAGAAAACAACAGAGGAGGAGUGCAGCAGCCCAGAGCCAGAACAGAGUAGCAUAGUAUAUCUCUUAGAAAACAUCAUAGUAUAGCCUUUGGUAUGAAAAAACA